GCUUCGGGCGGUGUAAAGGGGAUGGGGCAGCCCGGGGGGGGGCGGCCGGAUCCGGCUGCGGAGCCCUGGGUUCACCAGCAAGCCGGGGGAGAAGACACUGGGCACCUACCGCUUCCCACAGGCUUCAUCUUGUUAAUUUAAAAAAAUAAAUAAAUAAAUAAAAUAAAAAAAUCUUGGAUGGAAACGAAGGAAAACGCCACUGCCAUCUCAAGGACGGACGCUGGCACUCGCAGGACAUCUCUCAGAAGCAAAUCUUCCAUUGUUGGUUAUGGUCUAUGGCAGGCCAAAUCCCAAAGAAAUCAAUGGAAGCUCAUCUUCGUUGACUCUAAGGCUUGUCCCCCAUGGACUUGACGAGGUGGAUGCUUGAACUGUUGGAGAUGUCUGAGGAAACACAUACACAGCUGCUGCUGCUGCAGGAUGUCAAAAGCAAGACGUGUCAACACCCAGGCUGCCACCAUUGUACAACACACGACCCAACAGAGAGGAUUCUAAACCAAAGGAAAUUUUCCUUCGUGUGUUUUUUUUUGCCUCAGGCUGACUUAAAGAAUAUUUUAUCAUAGCACAUGCGUCUUCAAAAAAAAAAAAAAAAAGGUCAUUAUCAGAGCACUAUCCCGCAAGAAAAAGAUGAGGAAAAAGAAAGGCACCAGAAAGUUUCUUUUCUUUAGAUAUUCUGUGUUCCUCAGCACCAACAUUUUCAUUUUCUUGUUGGCCUUGAGGACACAUUGCUACUGGCUGCUUAGCUAAACCAAGCAAGAAAGACCAGCAGGUACGUGAAAUGCCAUCACAUCUUUUCCUUUACACCAAGCUGAAUACCGCUCUCUGCUAUUAACGUAGGGUCUGAUCGUACUCUCACCAAAGUUAGAAGCAAAUUUCCCAUUGACUUUAAUAGGGCAACACAUGCUUUUUACAAAACAGACAGGGCACUUUUUUAUUUCCUACUAAAUAUGAAAAAGAAAAAUCUGAGUACCAAAGUCUUUGAUCAAACAGAAAACAAACACAUCUUACAGGUUUUUUAAUAACUUUUUUCCCAAUAAAAAGAGUAAAGUUGGCCUGAAAUUAUUAUACCUGUUUGAACAGAAAGCAUAUUUUCUUUCUAGCUAGGCAUUAUAUCAUUCAAUCUAUGAAAACAGAGAUGUAAUAUAAAGUAAUAAAGAGGAAAUACAACAUAAAGUAAGAUUCAGACAUAUUAAAUUGCUUAAUGAAAACACAAGAGAGAGAAAAUAGAAAAUAUGUUUUCCUUUAUUGAGAAAAAUCCCUUUUCAAAUGCUUAAUCAAUAAUAAAGUUCAUAUUUCCUGACUUGAAAUAUUUUUUACAUUUUUUUUUUUAGAAAAUUAUUAAAUAUCUUUAAUGAAUAUAGAUUGCCAUUUUUCUGCAGCAUGGCCUGGCAGCAUCCCGAAUAGAUUGUUCUCUGCCUAAUCUGUUUCCCUUCUGCAAUUGACUGAUCCGAGCAGCGCACUUCAUAAUUUCAUUUCAGAUAAUUCUUGUCACUGAAUGCUAUCCAGUAAAUGUGAAUACACAUUUGCAAAUGCACCUUGGGAAAAGGGAAAUCCUGCAGGAUCAUGCUGCUGGUAAUUUGAAGAUGAGUCAAAUUAACAGGCAACAUUUGUUACCACUUAACUUUUCUAUGCUCUUGAGCUACAGAGCAGAUUGAGGCUAUGUGAGCAUUGCAGUCAAACCACUGUUAUUCCAGUUUCCAUAUUCUCUGACCCUAGUUUGCUGUCCGUGGGUUAUUAAAUAUGCAGAGUCUACUCUAUGGAAGAAUGUAAGGCCUCCAUUAGAGUGUGAAACCUUACAUCCACCUACUCCAGCAUCUUCUGCCUGAAUAUCUACAGCUUGCUUCUGAACCAUCUUGCUCCAAAGGGUGGAACAUCAAAAUUAUCACUUAAAAUAGCUGUCACUUCUGGAAAGACGUGAAGCAUUCGUCUUCUCUCAGGGCUCAGUGGGAGCUUUACAUUUCCUGCUCAGCAUGGCCACCUUUCUCCCAGUAUGGGACUGCAAGCACUCGGUAAGACCCUGCAUGCAGUUCCCAAGGGGUGGAAAGACACGGUAUGCCUGUAAGACGAUGCCAACCUGGCAAUCUUGAAGGACACAGAUUCUGUGGCACAAAGACUUAGAGAAGUCAUGAAGAGGAAGUAGGAAAUUCCCAGUGCCUGGGGAAGCUGAGAGGAAGGAGGCGCAAGGUGUCUACAGUGACAGUGUGGGGAAAGAUGUAUGGUCUGGGGGAUCCUAAGAUAGGCAGCAGUCCAGUGUGCUGGGAGAUGAGAAGUACCAGCAGGAGCAUCCUCUGGGAAAGGCAGGGUGGGGACAGGAGUAGAAAGGGACAGGCGGCUUUCAGCCAUAUGAAAACAUUGAAAAGUUUGAUCUCUCCUGGACUAGACCGUUUCUUCUUUAUUUGUACCACAACCUGACAUCAAGACAAUUCAGAACCUAUGCAUAUGUGAGUAAUGCUGUUCUGGGCAGCAGGGUAUCCGAAUUAUGUGUCCAGGGCUGGCAGACAACAGAGAACCUGUGCAAGAUGAAGGUCCUUCUGGAGUGGCACUCAAUUGCCAGCUGGUAGGCCUCUGGGCUCUCAGUGUAGCUGCUAUGGUUAGGAUACACUUAUUUUUUGGCAAAUGGUCACAAAUAAGAAAAAUAUAUAUAUAUUCUAUGGGGAAAUGGGUUCUACAGGGGCUGUGAUCUGCAAAUAACCAGAUCUCCACACUUCAUCACUGCAGUCCACUGUUCACAGAAUCACAGAAUCAUCACAGAAUUUCUAGGUCGGAAGAGACCUCAAGAUCAUCGAGUCCAACCUCUGACCUAACACUAACAGUCCCCACUAAACCAUAUCCCUAAGCUGUUCAUAUGAGCCCACCAGUUUCCUUCCCUAAGCAAUAAUCCCAGAAGAUCAAAUUGGCUACAGUUCCUCAGACUGCACAUCAUAAAUGAGGGGUGGGAAAACACAAUGCACAGUGUGCUCAGUUUAAGCUGCACCCUUGGCCAAGGCCUGGGCAGGCCAAGGUGGACUGCAGCCCCUCACAUUCUGCACGUGCCACUGGGUAUAGGGGACGAGCAGCUCCUGGGCAACUUUCUGGAGAUGCUUCAGCUGGGCUGGGCUGAGGGAAGCUAGAGAAGGGCCAGGCAAGCACUGGGGAAGAAAGAGGUAAGGUGACAGGCUAGGGAGAGCAGUUACCCUCACAAAACUGUUAAGGCACCUUGCACAUCAACCUUCCUGAAUAUUACAGUGUAUUGAAGUAAUCUUAUUUACAUAUCCGAGUUAAAUUUGGCUAGUUUCUAAGGAGUAUCGCUAUAGGCAGUACGCACAAAUCACCUGGAACAUCAUCUCCUUCCAUUGUAAACCUCUAAUGAUGGCUUAUAAACAGAAACACGGUCAAGCUAGAAAUAAGCUGUCACACAAAAUGCUGACAUCUCCAAAUAACAAGUGUAUCCAAGAGGUGUUUUUUUUCUCAUUAAAAAUAUUGCAUUUAUUUUUCACAGAGGAAGUAGAAGUCGUAAGAAAAAUCAAUAUGAAGUGACCUAAUCUUUCUCAUUUUCAUUUUUAAUUCCCCCAUCGUGGGGCUGGAAUAGCUCCGUUCCCUGACACCGAGUGCCAUGACAACCAUCAGGCCCAUCAGGUCUCUGCAUAGCCACUCUGCUCAUUACCUGGGGAAAAAUAAACAGGAAGAGGAGGCUGCUUCUUCCUAGCCCUGCAGUCCCUGCCACGCCUGAUUCAGACCAUAUGAGCUCCAGAGAAGAUGCACAAGUUUGCUUGGAGCAGAAUCAGGCCCACAGAAGCUGGCGAAAUCACUUUUUCUCUGUGUGGAAAAUGAGAGCAAACCACCCUCACAGAAGUGCAGCAGAAAGGACUGGAAGAAAAUGUUUGCAGCUGUUACAAGAGGAUUCCUUUCACUGAAGUAUCCCCUGACUGCAGUUUCCAACAGAAAAUCUAUUUACUGAAACUGAAUAUCAAGACUACCAGGAAUCUCCAUCCCAGUCAGGCAAGGCUGUCAAGUCUAUCAUCAUGCAUUUGGUAUAUAUCCUCCAUGAGUUGAGUCUUCAUUUAUGUGGUAACCAGAUGGUAUGGUGUAAAGAAGAGUUUCUGCUUCUGAAGCAAAAAAGAAGAAAAGGGAUGUUUCUUCUCUCCUAGUAAGACCCAGGUACCAAAAGAAAUAAUUAUGAAAAUUCUAUGUCUACCAAUCUAGUAUCUUUUCUUAAAAAAAAAAAGACUAUUAUGUAAUACACCCGUGUAAUCCAAUUACAUGAUUGAAUUUAUCUUUUCAUAUGUAUUUAUUUCUUCCCGAUUACAAGGUUUUCGUUGCACACUGCACUUAAUGCAGAGAAUCCUCUUGGACAAAUCUUGCUUGAGUAAAGGCUGGAGAAUUUUACCAGUUUAUAGCUGUAUUUUAAUAAGUCUAUGAUCCCACUGACAACAAAGUAAACAGGAAAAGCUCUGCUGCAGCCAGACUCUCUCUGGGCUUUUCAGCUGACUGCUUCUGUAUGUAAAGCAAUUAGUACAUGUGUAUAUAUUCAUGCAUGGGGGAGAACAAGUACAGAUUUAACUAUCAAUAUGCAUACCACAGUAUGCAAUUUGUUGCUAAUAUAAAAAAAAAAAAGCUAAUAAACAAGGCUCCGUGAGUCUACUUUUCGUUAGAAAAGUUCAGUGAACACAAGUGUUGGAUUUUGCCUAAUCUGCUCUCACCAAAUAACUUCAACAUAACUUAUUCUAUCCACUAGAAUUCUUUCCUGUUCAUCAAUUUAAAAUUGAUCACUCAUUUCUUGUUUACUGUUGCAAUAAUGGCUCUGCAACUGAAAAUAAAUGUUUUAUGCUUAUACAUAAGAGGAACCCAGUCAUAUUCAUGUUAAGAUGCUUCCCUCAUAUUGUAGUUAUAAAAACAGAGAAGGAAAGUGUUGAGGGGGGGGAGGGGGUUCAUUCUGCAAAUUUCUCUUAAAUGGAAGAAACAGCCCCAUGGCUACACAGUUCUAGCAAUUUCUGCUUGUGUUUCUUCUAAUUACAUUUUCCUGAAGAAAACUGACUUCUACUACAUCUGAAUCUGUAUUUGUCCUGCUACAGCAGCAUCCUGGUUGUUGCAACAUUAAGUUUCACUGAGUUCAUCAAGGGUUCAACAACCCUUCAACAAGGGUUCAAGUUCAACGAGGGUUCAACAAGGGCUCAAGGUGUUCAACACCUCACUGAGAUUUUGAUCCAAAAUAGCAGAAGUAACUGAUGUACUCAUUUUUGCUAGAGUACACUUUAAAUCACAGUUCACUGUGCAUAGCCUUCUUCCACCAGGUGGUCUGUUACACUUGACACCAUUUCACAUUUGGCUGUUUAGAAAUUGUUUUGCUGACAUGGGUAGGAUCUUCCCUUAUACCUGAGGUGAAUGCUGCUGGCUAAGGUCAUGCUUCCUUACACUCAGGAGGACUGCUCCAGCAAUAUAAAUGGGAGCUGGAAUGGAUCCUUAGGUCACCAUACCAUGGCCCACAGAACAAACAGUGUUUAGAAGUCAUUCAAGUUGAAAACUUCAAAGGAAAAAAUAAAAAGAUGCGUGUGCUGGCACAACCAUGAAAAAUUUGUCACCUACUCAAGGGAGCUCCCUCCAGGUUUCCAUCUCCAAAACUGUAUCGUCCACUCUUUAUGGACUUUUCUAAAUAUCUCGGUAAAAUGGCAGCAAAUUUAAGACCAGCAUUAGGAAGGGCAGUCCCCAUACUGUUAAGCAUUUGAUGCUCAUUUUCCAUGAGUCUAGCAGGGGUUAUAGAAGGGGACAGUGUCUUUUUUUCCAUCAUUCCCCUGGGGUGGUACAGACACAGAGGGAGAAGGUCAGAGUUGAAACUGCUCCAAGGAGCCUGGCUCAUCCCCUGGGCUGCUGAACAUGAUACAAAGCAGUGCACUCUCCAUUCACCAGCAUGCAAGUCUUGCUGCAAUUUGGCUCUAAUGAUGCCAGCCCAGGACCCCAAGGACAAGCAAUUCCCCACGGCCAUGUUGCUCUAACACUGUACUUUGUCUACUGCUCCGCUUGUGUAGUAGUUUCUCCACAGUAAAAUACAAUAGAGCUGUAUGUACAAAUACUUUAACCACUGGGAACUCCCAGCUCUUGAAUGAUUGAUCUCAUAAUCCUAACACUGUGUGGAAAAGGGUUUUGAUAUUUAAGAAGUCUUCCCAGAAGUAUUUAAUUAAGUAGGUCAGUCUCUCACCUAGACAACACAUUUCCUUGAUGUUAACACAGAACAGUCAUCAGGCUGCACUUCCAAGCCGUGUUUUACCAUUAAAGUGAUUUACCUAAAUUAAGCUAAAAAAAUCCGUACAUGUCCACAUGCCCUUUAUUGUUUAUCUACGGCAAUCUACAUCAUUGGUUUGGCCUUACAUGUCCAAGCUGGUACCUGGCCUCAACUCCUAAGCUAAUUUCACCUGAGCUAUGGAUCUCCAGCAUCUUACUAGAGACAUGCAGGGCAAGUCACCCUCAGGUCUCUUGUAUAACAUUUGUUCUUCUUUGUUGCCUACAUCUUCUGGCCCCUCUGCUCUUUAAGUGAAGCCUCUGAAGCGAUGAGAUGGAGUUCUCUUAUAUCAUGACACAUUUGCAAUGUAUAUGUAGUUCGCCUUGAUGUUUGCCUCUCCCCAACUAUUGUUUUACUGCAUAGCCUCUAUUUUAUUGCAUGCUCCAGAAGUCCACAGUCUCUCUAUUCUUUUACAAAAUUGGUUACAAAAAUUAAAUUCUUCUUUACAGUCCAGGUGGUUUACAUUGCUUUUAAUUCCCUUUCCCAAAUUUUAGUAUAUAAUCAUAAAACUUCUGCAGGAGGUCUACCCCAUAGAACUGUAUUUUCAAACACUGAGGUUUAGUUUGCUUUCAAAUAUUAAAGGCAUUUAUUUUAUUUGACAUUUAUUUUAUAUUAUUUUGCUAUAAUUUAUUUUAAUUCUAAUAAUCACCUGGUUUUAUUUUCAGCACUGUAUUUAUUUCCUUUUGUUCCCAUCACCCAAGCAGUUCUUUAACGGUUAGCUAUAAAUUUGCAUCUGUUUGAUCUUAGGUGUCUUUCUGCCUAAAGAAUUAAUGGUGCUUUUGAUAAUAUAUACUCCAAAGGUAUAUUGUUUUGAACAACUCUUUUGACCUACUUGUUUCCAUAAUGUUUGAGGUUUCUGUCAAUGUGAUUUCUCUUUAUAAUUUUUCUUCCCUUCUCUUUACCAGAGGCUGAUUUUCUUCUAACAGCCUAUUUCAUUUCAGUUCAGUAAAACUCCCUUUAUUUUUUAAUUUUCUUAGGUUAUAGAAGUCCCUAGAUUCCAAAAACAUUAAUUUUACAUUUUGUCAAAUAGAAGGAAGUUCAGUAGAUUCAAAUAAAACCAGACU